rnacentral:misc_RNA from 1 species
GAUGAAGAACGUAGCGAAAUGCGAUAAGUAGUGUGAAUUGCAGAUUUCAGUGAAUCAUCGAAUCUUUGAACGCACAUUGCGCCCGCCAGUAUUCUGGCGGGCAUGCCUGUUCGAGCGUCAUUUCAACCCUCAAGCCCCCGGGUUUGGUGUUGGGGAUCGGGCUGUACUCCAGCCCGGCCCCGAAAUCUAGUGGCGGUCUCGCUGCAGCCUCCAUUGCGUAGUAGCUAACACCUCGCAACUGGAACGCGGCGCGGCCAAGCCGUUAAACCCCCAACUUCUGAAUGUUGACCUCGGAUCAGGUAGGAAUACCCGCUGAACUUAAGCAUAUCAAUAAGCGGAGAA